GAUGAAGAACGCAGCGAAAUGCGAUACGUAAUGUGAAUUGCAGAAUUCAGUGAAUCAUCGAGUCUUUGAACGCACAUUGCGCCCCCUGGUAUUCCGGGGGGCAUGCCUGUCCGAGCGUCAUUGCUGCCCUCAAGCACGGCUUGUGUGUUGGGCCUCCGUCCUCCUCCCGGGCGACGGGCCCGAAAGGCAGCGGCGGCACCGCGUCCGGUCCUCGAGCGUAUGGGGCUUCGUCACCCGCUCUUGUAGGCCCGGCCGGCGCUUGCCGACACAUCAAUCUUCUUUCCAGGUUGACCUCGGAUCAGGUAGGGAUACCCGCUGAACUUAAGCAUAUCAAUAAGCGGAGGA
rnacentral:misc_RNA from 1 species